AUUCUUAACAAUGCAAAUAACAACAAUUAAAAUUAAAAUUAUAAACCGAAGUGAUUUUUUUAAUUCAAGUAAAAAAAACAAAGGAAAAUGAAGUGAAAUGGGCAAAGUUGUCAGUUGAUGUGAAAUCAAAGAGGGAUGAUUAACAAUGAGAUGAGGGGAUCAGAGGGAGAUAGAAAUUAAACAAUAACAGGAUGAUAAGGGUAAAGAGGAGUGCAAAUAUCAGCAUUGGCAUCAAUAUCAAGAUCGUAAUUGCUAUUACCUGCUGCCAUUGCACCCAUCUCUUCUCUGUUGUUGUUAUUAACCAAUCCCUUCUUCUACUAUUAUUUCACCCAUUGACAUGGUAAUUGUAAGUGCUAUUGUUAUGGCUCAAUUUCAGUGCUUUGAUCUUCGAUCUAACAGUGGUGGUAGAUUGGCAAUGCAAUGAUGAUUGGGCUUGGACAGCAAAAUUGUACUUUAUAUUUUAGUGGCUCAGGUCGAUGGUAACAAUAUCGGGAUGGUAAUGGAUUUUGUGGUGAAACCCUUGCAGAUUUGUGGUUGUUGUGGCAAUGGUUCUGGCGAUGGGGAUUGUAAGAGAAAAUUACAAAAAGAAAUUGCAGAGACCAUGAUAAUUAAAAAGAAAGGGUUGAGAGAACGCAUAAAAGGAAAGGAAUGAGG
rnacentral:lncRNA from 1 species